rnacentral:rRNA from 1 species
AUAAUGGGUCAGCGACUUAUAUUCUGUAGCAAGGUUAACCGAAUAGGGGAGCCGAAGGGAAACCGAGUCUUAACUGGGCGUUAAGUUGCAGGGUAUAGACCCGAAACCCGGUGAUCUAGCCAUGGGCAGGUUGAAGGUUGGGUAACACUAACUGGAGGACCGAACCGACUAAUGUUGAAAAAUUAGCGGAUGACUUGUGGCUGGGGGUGAAAGGCCAAUCAAACCGGGAGAUAGCUGGUUCUCCCCGAAAGCUAUUUAGGUAGCGCCUCGUGAAUUCAUCUCCGGGGGUAGAGCACUGUUUCGGCAAGGGGGUCAUCCCGACUUACCAACCCGAUGCAAACUGCGAAUACCGGAGAAUGUUAUCACGGGAGACACACGGCGGGUGCUAACGUCCGUCGUGAAGAGGGAAACAACCCAGACCGCCAGCUAAGGUCCCAAAGUCAUGGUUAAGUGGGAAACGAUGUGGGAAGGCCCAGACAGCCAGGAUGUUGGCUUAGAAGCAGCCAUCAUUUAAAGAAAGCGUAAUAGCUCACUGGUCGAGUCGGCCUGCGCGGAAGAUGUAACGGGGCUAAACCAUGCACCGAAGCUGCGGCAGCGACGCUGAUGCGUUGUUGGGUAGGGGAGCGUUCUGUAAGCCUGUGAAGGUGUGCUGUGAGGCAUGCUGGAGGUAUCAGAAGUGCGAAUGCUGACAUAAGUAACGAUAAAGCGGGUGAAAAGCCCGCUCGCCGGAAGACCAAGGGUUCCUGUCCAACGUUAAUCGGGGCAGGGUGAGUCGACCCCUAAGGCGAGGCCGAAAGGCGUAGUCGAUGGGAAACAGGUUAAUAUUCCUGUACUUGGUGUUACUGCGAAGGGGGGACGGAGAAGGCUAUGUUGGCCGGGCGACGGUUGUCCCGGUUUAAGCGUGUAGGCUGGUUUUCCAGGCAAAUCCGGAAAAUCAAGGCUGAGGCGUGAUGACGAGGCACUACGGUGCUGAAGCAACAAAUGCCCUGCUUCCAGGAAAAGCCUCUAAGCAUCAGGUAACAUCAAAUCGUACCCCAAACCGACACAGGUGGUCAGGUAGAGAAUACCAAGGCGCUUGAGAGAACUCGGGUGAAGGAACUAGGCAAAAUGGUGCCGUAACUUCGGGAGAAGGCACGCUGAUAUGUAGGUGAAGUCCCUCGCGGAUGGAGCUGAAAUCAGUCGAAGAUACCAGCUGGCUGCAACUGUUUAUUAAAAACACAGCACUGUGCAAACACGAAAGUGGACGUAUACGGUGUGACGCCUGCCCGGUGCCGGAAGGUUAAUUGAUGGGGUCAGCGCAAGCGAAGCUCUUGAUCGAAGCCCCGGUAAACGGCGGCCGUAACUAUAACGGUCCUAAGGUAGCGAAAUUCCUUGUCGGGUAAGUUCCGACCUGCACGAAUGGCGUAAUGAUGGCCAGGCUGUCUCCACCCGAGACUCAGUGAAAUUGAACUCGCUGUGAAGAUGCAGUGUACCCGCGGCAAGACGGAAAGACCCCGUGAACCUUUACUAUAGCUUGACACUGAACAUUGAGCCUUGAUGUGUAGGAUAGGUGGGAGGCUUUGAAGUGUGGACGCCAGUCUGCAUGGAGCCGGCCUUGAAAUACCACCCUUUAAUGUUUGAUGUUCUAACGUUGACCCGUGAUCCGGGUUGCGGACAGUGUCUGGUGGGUAGUUUGACUGGGGCGGUCUCCUCCUAAAGAGUAACGGAGGAGCACGAAGGUUGGCUAAUCCUGGUCGGACAUCAGGAGGUUAGUGCAAUGGCAUAAGCCAGCUUGACUGCGAGCGUGACGGCGCGAGCAGGUGCGAAAGCAGGUCAUAGUGAUCCGGUGGUUCUGAAUGGAAGGGCCAUCGCUCAACGGAUAAAAGGUACUCCGGGGAUAACAGGCUGAUACCGCCCAAGAGUUCAUAUCGACGGCGGUGUUUGGCACCUCGAUGUCGGCUCAUCACAUCCUGGGGCUGAAGUAGGUCCCAAGGGUAUGGCUGUUCGCCAUUUAAAGUGGUACGCGAGCUGGGUUUAGAACGUCGUGAGACAGUUCGGUCCCUAUCUGCCGUGGGCGCUGGAGAACUGAGGGGGGCUGCUC